AUGAUACAAUCGAUCGAGAACAGCUAUGACAGAUUAUGCACGAAUACGGAUUCCCGGAUAAACUGAUACGGUUGAUCAAGGCGACGAUGGAUCGAGUGAUGUGCAUAGUUCGAGUAUCAGGGACACUCUCGAGUCCCUUCGAAUCUCGUAGAGGGUUACGGCAAGGUGAUGGUCUUUCGUGCUUGCUGUUCAACAUUGCGUUAGAGGGUGUAAUAAGGAGAGCGGGGAUUAACACGAGUGGUACGAUUUUCACGAAGUCUGUUCAGCUGCUUGGUUUCGCUGAUGAUAUUGAUAUUAUUGCUAGUAAAUUUGAGACGAUGGCGGAAACGUACAUCCGACUAAAGAGUUAAGCCAGGCGAAUCGGAUUAGUCAUUAAUGUGUCGAAGACAAAAUACAUGAUGGCAAAGGGCCCCAGGGAGGAAUCAGCGCGCCCGCUACCCCGAAUUUAUAUCGACGGUGAUGAAAUCGAGGCGGUUGAAGAAUUCGUGUACUUGGGCUCACUGGUGACCGCCGACAAUGACACCAGCAGAGAAAUUCAGAGGCGCAUUGUGGCAGGAAAUCGUGCUUACUUUGGACUCCGCAAAACUCUACGAUCGAAUAAAGUUCGCCGUAACACGAAGUUAACUAUCUACAAAACGUGAUUAGACCGGUCGUCCUCUAUGGGCAUGAAACAUGGACCCUACGUGCAGAGGACCAACGCGCCCUUGGAGUUUUCGAACGGAAGGUGUUGCGUACCAUCACGGCGGAGUGCAGAUGGAAGACGGGACUUGGAGAAGGCGAAUGAACCACGAGCUGCAUCAGCUGCUAAGAGAAGCAACCAUCGUCCAUACCGCGAAAAUCGGGAGACUACGGUGGGCGGGUCACGUCAUCAGGAUGUCGGAUAGCAACCCGACUAAAAUGGUUCUCGAGAGUCAUCCGACCGGUACAAGAAGACGUGGAGUGCAGCGAGCUAGGUGGGUCGACCAAGUAGAGGACGAUCUGCGGACCCUACGCAGAGUGCGGAACUGGAGACAAACAUCCAUGGACCGAGUGGAAUGGAGACGGCUACUAUGUACAGCAGAGGCCACCCCGGCCUUAGCCUGAUUGGUAAGGUAAGUAAAGUAAGCCUUGUAACUUUGCAUACAAACUUUAGAGGCACAAAUAUGACGAACGAAUCAUCUAACCAAGCCGCACUUGUUUAUCCUGGCUU